AAUGCCUGUAGAAGCAUGGCAGGUCUAUGUUGUAUCACAUGUACAUCAGUAGAUGGCAGAGGAAAGAGGCUAUGCCUACUCUCAAUAUUCUGACCUAUGAAUGUCUGAAUGAUCAGUAGCAUAACAUU